rnacentral:rRNA from 1 species
AACGAACGCUGGCGGCAGGCCUAACACAUGCAAGUCGAACGAAGUCUUCGGACUUAGUGGCGCACGGGUGAGUAACACGUGGGAAUAUACCUUACGCUGGGGGAUAACAUCGGGAAACUGAUGCUAAUACCGCAUACGCCCUUCGGGGGAAAGAUUUAUCGGCGAAAGAUUAGCCCGCGUCCGAUUGGCUAGUUGGUGAGGUAAUGGCUCACCAAGGCUCCGAUCGGUAGCUGGUCUGAGAGGAUGACCAGCCACACUGGGACUGAGACACGGCCCAGACUCCUACGGGAAGCAGCAGUGGGGAAUAUUGGACAAUGGGCGCAAGCCUGAUCCAGCCAUGCCGCGUGAGUGAUGAAGGCCUUAGGGUUGUAAAGCUCUUUCACCCACGACGAUGAUGACGGUAGUGGGAGAAGAAGCCCCGGCUAACUUCGUG